UACGGAGGGUGCGAGCGUUGUCCGGAUUUAUUGGGUUUAAAGGGUGCGUAGGCGGCUUUUUAAGUCUGGGGUGAAAGCCCGCUGCUCAACAGCGGAACUGCCCUGGAUACUGGAGAGCUUGAGUACAGACGAGGUUGGCGGAAUGGACGGAGUAGCGGUGAAAUGCAUAGAUACCGUCCAGAACCCCGAUUGCGAAGGCAGCUGACUAGGCUGUUACUGACGCUGAGGCACGAAAGCGUGGGGAGCGAACAGG
rnacentral:rRNA from 2 species